GAUGAACGCUGGCGGCGUGCUUAACACAUGCAAGUCGAGCGAGAAGUUUUGAAAAGAUUCUUCGGAUGAAAUUUAAAAUGGAAAGCGGCGGACGGGUGAGUAACGCGUAGGCAACCUGCCCCAUACAAAGGGAUAGCAUUUGGAAACGAAUAUUAAUACCUUAUGAAACUUAACUAGUGCAUGCUAGGUAGGUCAAAGAUUUAUCGGUAUGGGAUGGGCCUGCGUCUGAUUAGCUAGUUGGUGAGGUAACGGCUCACCAAGGCGACGAUCAGUAGCCGACCUGAGAGGGUGAACGGCCAAAUUGGAACUGAGACACGGUCCAAACUCCUACGGGAGGCAGCAGUGGGGAAUAUUGCACAAUGGGGGAAACCCUGAUGCAGCAACGCCGCGUGAACGAUGAAGGCCUUUGGGGCGUAAAGUUCUGUUCUAGGUGAUGAAAACUGACAGUAACCUAGGAGAAAGCCCCGGCUAACUCCGUG
rnacentral:rRNA from 1 species